CAACUCUUUUCUCAAGCUUACAGGAAAGGAGCAAACGUGCGUGGCUACUUCGUAUGGAGUAUCAUCGACAGCUUCGAGUGGACUUACGGUUUCACGGUAAAGUUCGGGCUGUAUCAUGUGGAUUAUGAAACGCAGAAGAGGACUCCAAAGAUGUCGGCGAAGUGGUACCGUGACUUCCUCAUGGGCUCUAGGCCGACCAACCAAGUGCAGACGCCCAGAGCAGAUUCGUGAUAGUUGCAGCCAUUACUGUGAGAUCCAGUUACCCGUAAAAAGAAACUGUAAGUCGUCUUCUCGGUUUUCUGCUUGCGUGAUCCAUGUACCAUGUGUGUCGGUGUGUGAGUAUGAGAGUUUUUAGGAUUGUGUGAUCCAUGCUGCUUAGGAGGAUAAAGAUGAAAAUGAGUGGUUCCCUUCCACCCUGCUGUACGGAACAGAGACAGGGAUAAGCCGCAUCCACACUGUGUGUGCGUGGCCAAAUUCGAUAGCCAUAUUAAUAAGAACCAAUUAGUGGUUGGAUGAUGGUUCUCUCGACCUAUUAGAGAUCAAAUAAUAGAUUUGACGCUUUGCUGUCACACUAAUGGGGAAUUUUAUUUUGAUAUGAGACAACGUUCAUGUCAUUCCACGUGCACCAAGUCAUGGGGAUAUUACAACUAGCAAGCAGUGCUUGGUGUGGCCUAUAAAUAUGGCCAUGCCGUACGAACCCUCAUAUGUGGACGCUGCUAUCACUCCCUCCGUUCCUAAAUAUUUGUCUUUCUAGAGAUUUCAACAAGUGACUACAUACAAAGCAAAAUGAAUGAAUCUACAUCCUAAAAUAUGUCUACAUACAUCUGUAUGUUGUAGUCAAUUUGAAAUGUUCAGAAAGGCAAAUAUUUAGGAACGGAGGGAGUAGAUUGCACAGUGUUACCGUUAGUGUAGUACGUACAUCAGAAUGUUUCACUUUUUGGCAUGUUCCAGAAGUAUUACCAGUUGAUAUGGAAAUAAAUGUUUGCAUACUUAUGUUUUAAAAAAAUUCAAAAUUGCACCUGCCUCACUUGAUGAUUUCAAAUUAAACGGUGUCUUAAAGAAUGUCCAUGCUAUUUAUCUCAAUGCUAUGGAUAAUAGAAUCAAAAUUUCCAUUCCGAAUUUUUUAACAAACGAAAAGGCCAAAAGAAUGAUAUUGAGUUGUGUGGCAAUGACGGUUGAUUAGUUUUAAAUGUAUAUUGUGCAUAUACAAAACUAAUAGAACAAACAAAGUAGGGUUCUGAUGAUGUUAGUCGGUUAUCAUUGUGUAAUGGAAAUAUAUAACAUAUAACCUCCAGGCCCUUCCUCUGAAACCAUCUUCCCUUAUGGAUAAACUCCUGCUCCAGUACUUUCAUCAUUUGGGCUGUAACCAGCACUGCAAUGCAAGAAUGUAUCAAAUACAUUCACAUUGUACGGAGCAUCAAGUUUGAGAGUUGCCCAAAGAAGCCUAACUACUAUUGUUCGUCUAAUAAAUAUUUACUGUAGCCACAUCAACUCGUCUAACACUUGGUAGUAGGAAACAACAUCAGCAGCCUCAAUCGCCAAAGCUCAGGCUACUCCGACGAAAAAGUAGUGUUAUUUUGAUUGCUGUUUUUAAGCUCUCACCUCUAUCACCUCUAUCAGCCAAGAAUUCUGCGCCUCGACAAUACUCUCAACGCGUCCUCAGUUUGACAGUGGAGUGAUGGCGGAACAUCGCUUAAUAGUUUACCUUUGUUUCUCUAAACAUUUCAUAUGUACAGUUACUUCUAGAAUGGCCACUCAGUUCAAAGAAGUGCUAAGUGCUCCGCUGUUCCUUGAAACUUCACAUUCGGAGCACUAGGAGACGACGUUGUUUGUUCUAGUGUUUUGGAUCUUCGGAGAAAUUAAACAGUGCUUCUUACUUGUGUCGAAAGUGCCUGCAUUUGUUUGUUUUAUUCAAGCACGUAGUUGGUACUUUUCUUGGUUUAUCUCACACAUGCUAAUUGGCCGUGAAAUACUCUCAGGCUCUUUUGAUUGAGAAUUAUGUUCUAUGAGGCUGGCGAUUCAUAUAUGCACAUUUCUGGCCUGGCUGUAUGGUUUCUAUUCCAUUUGACGUGGGGAGUAAGAUGGAAAGACAUGAUGCUUCCAGGGGGCAAGAUGCAAAUGUACCAAGAGGGCAUACUGAAAUUGAUUGGUUAACUGAUCCUGCCCCUUCAUGCAUAUCUGACGCACCUAGAGGUCCCAGAGCAGCGUAUCAUUCAAAAGGCUGGAGCACCCGAUAUUUUCCCUAGGCGCUGUCUCCUCAUAAACCAAGAGACACUGCCAUUCUAGUCUAGCUCGAUGUGACGGGGAAAUGGUGAGAGCGGGGAGCGAUGUUGGGCGGGUGAGCUUGGGUGGUGCAGCGGCGUCGGGUAGAGGAGCUUGAGAUGGUGGCAUCGGGCGGGAGAGGUCGGGCCGGUGAGGGAGAUCGGCGGCGGUGUGGGAGCUCGGACACAGAGUUGGC
rnacentral:rRNA from 1 species